GCUUACGGCCAUACCAGCCUGGGUACGCCCGAUCUCGUCUGAUCUCGGAAGCUAAGCAGGGUCGGGCCUGGUUAGUACUUGGAUGGGAGACCGCCUGGAAAUACCAGGUGCUGUAAGCA
rnacentral:rRNA from 1 species